rnacentral:lncRNA from 1 species
UUUUUUUUUUUUUUUUUUUUUUUUUAGGGGGGGACAAAGUCUCGCUCUGUCUCCUAGGCUGGAGUGCAGUGGUGUGCACUCAGCUCACUGCCAGCUCCACCUCCCGGGUUCAUGUCAUUCUCCUGCCUCAGCCUCCUGAGUAGCUGGAACUACAGGCUCCCGCCACUACACCCGGCUAAUUUUUUGUAUUUUUUUUUUUAGCAAAGACAGAGUUUCACCAUGUUAGCUAGGAUGGUCUCGUUCUCCUGACCUCAUGAUCUGCCCAUCUCGGCCUCCCAAGGAUAUCCACUUUUAAUUUAGCUGAGUACUCUUUAAGAACAUCCUUUUUCAUUAAUUAAAACUUUGCAGAGAAUACAAGCAGUGAUCCUUAUCAUUCCUUUUACCAGUUUGCACAGGGAGAAAGAAGCCAAAAGUCCAACUGGUUAAAAACAAAACAAAACAAAACAAAAAAACCACAAAACUUUAACCUUUUGCUGGCAUGUCUGGCUUCUGGAUUUUUCAGAGGGAGUUUCUUUGAGGUCCUCCCUGGCUGCAUAAGUUUGCACCACUACCUGUUCACAGGCAUGUUCAGGUUCUCCAGUUUCCUCUGGGAGGAAAGUAGCUGGGUUCAGACAAGGACAGGUUUUUAACUAGACUGUGAUCCCUCUAACAGCAGAGCCUGAUAUUUGGAGAGGCAAUUAUCUGAUAGCCAGAGACUUCCCUUAGAAGACAGCAGUUCUACCACAUUAUGUGGGGUAUAUACACUUAUUCCCAAUGGUUAACUUGGUGACUUCUGGCACCAGCAAAGCCACCACAGCAACUGCUCAGAAGCAGGCUGGCCAUACUUUAGCCACCAAGUCUAGAUCCUUGCUUAGGUAACCUACUGGCUGUUGAGCUGGACCUUGAGCCUGAGUCAAAACUUUUAGGGCCAUUCCCUUCCUUUUUGAUACAUAGAGACUGAAUGCCUUCCCUAUCAGAAGACUAUGGGCUGAUGGUUUAACUAAGGUUUGUUUUAACUGGUUAAAGGCUUUUUUUAGCCCCAAA